GCAGUCUUAGGCUGCGACGGGGGCUUGGCCUCGAACCUCGCCCUUCAAAUCUGAACCCACCCUGGGAUCCGACCUGCUCAAUCAGGAAAGGAACCGGGUGGGCUCCAGCUGAGACUCCUCCCGGACCCGGACCCGCCCCACCCUCAGUUCCAGGCGGGGCCUCCGCCCCAAGCCCCGCCUCAGCCCCGCCCCUCGGAGAGCGGCAGCCAGAGGCAGGAGGGUCCCGGCUUCUACCAGGGGCUUCGGUCUCACGGACUGUCGCAUUUGCAUUUAAUCACUGAGUCUCACCCAGACUGAAGUGCAGUGGCACAAUCUCGGCUCACUCACCGCAGCCUCUGCCUUCCCGGUCCAAGCAAUUCUCCUGCCUCAGCCUCCCAAGUGGCUGGGAUUACAGGUAUGUGCCAUCACGCCCGCUAAGUUUUGUAUUUUUAGUAGAGACAGGGUUUUGCCAUGUUGGCCGGACUGGUCUCAAAUUCCUGACCUCAAGUGAUCCACCUGCCUUGGCCUCCCAAAGUGCUGGGAUUACAGGCGUGAGCCACUAUGCCUGGCCUUGUUUUUUUUGUUUUGAGACAGGGUCUCGCUGUCACCCAGGCUGGAGUGUGAUAGCAUGAUCGGGGCUCACUGCAGCAGCCUUGACUUCUUAAGCUCAAGGGAUCCUCCCACUUCAGCCUCCUGAGUAGCUGGGACUAUAGGUGCACAUCACCAUGCCCAGCUAAUUUUCAUAUAUUUGGUAGAGAUGGGGUUUCACCAUGUUGCCCAGACUGGUUUUGAACUCCUGGGCUCAAGCGAUUCUCCUCACCUCAACUCCCAGAGCACCAGGCCUCAAACUGUUCUAAUUUACAAUUCCCUUUGCAGCUGGUGAUUAAUCCUCCCAAGAAUGCCUCCUGUCACAUUUGAUCCCUGCGGUGGAAAAGUUAAAUAUUAAAUUUGAACUCAAUUGAACGUGGACAGAAACAAUGGUCACCAAGUCCCAGAACAGGUUGUGUGAGCCCCUUGAGGUGUUCGUCCAGCACUGUUUUGGAGAAAUCUCUAUUUCAAUCUAUUCCUACACGUUAGUUAUUGAAAAACAAUAGACAAUUGCAAAAAUAAGUUGAAUGUUUUGUGUUCCUUGAGCCCAGUCGCCAAGGGCCCCGUGACUGGGCCUCAUGCCAAACAACUCGUUACAAAAAGAGCUAGGGUCCCAGACUGCGCCAAAACUUCAUGAGACCUCUCCUCGUCUGUGCAUGGAUGAGUGGCCAACUCUGGAGCCCAGGCUGUUGCUUCUCAGUCUGGUGGUGAAUCCUCUAUAGUCUUAUGAGUGCGGUGUUCAACUCUGGAACCCAGGCUGUUGCUUUCCAGUCUGGUGGUAAAUCCUCCAUAGUCUGGUGAAUGUAAACAUCUUUUCCCUUCUCCCCUUCCCAUUGCAAUUUGCUUAUUAUAUCAAUCUGUUUAUUAUAUCAUUUGCUUACUUAUUAUAUAAUUUGCUUAUUAUAUUAAUUUGCUUGUACCAUUUGCUUAUUAUAUCUCCAUUGCCAUUUACAUGGGAUAAAGCUUGUUUACCCUUAAAGGUAUUGUGUGUGUCUCUUCUUCUCCCCUUGUGCGUUUCCUGCACAGAACAACCCCGCAGCCAAAUUUCUUUUUUCUAUAAAGUUUUCCCUUACAACCCCGCCACCCCCACCGCCCAACAAAGUAUGCCUCUUGUAUGACAUACUCCUAGUGCUUGUUGAUAUAUAGCAACCACCUCUUUGCAUUUGCCAUUUUUUUUUGUUUUUGAGAUAGUGUCUCACUCUGUCACCCAGGCUGCAGCGCAAUGGCGUGAUGUCGGCUCACUGUAACCUCCACUUCCUGGGCUCGUGCCAUCCUCCCACCUCAGCCUCCCAAGUAGAUGGGACUACAGGUGCGUACCACCAUGCCCAGCUAAUUGUUUCUGUAUUUUUGGUAAAGACAGGGUUUCACAUGUUGUCCAAGAUGGUCUCGAACUCCUGAACUCAAGUGAUCCACCUGCCACGACCUCCCAAAGUCCUGGGAUCACAGGUGUGAGCCACUGCGUCCAGGCUGUAUUUGCCACUAUUUGUUUACAUGUUUGUUUCUGCUACUGGACUGGACUCUUUGAUGGUAGUUGUGUUUUAUAUUAUUGCCAUUGUCAAGCACAUAUUACGUGCUUGAUAUCUGAUGAAUAAAUGAAUGAAAAAAAUUAAUGAAGAAGCAAAGGAGCAACAACAAGGAAAGGAAGGAACAAUACACAGUUGCUUCUUAAACUAAUACUAUUGCAAAGAAAGGGGUAACAAGAUUGGGUUUAGAGAAAGCCCCAGUCUGGAGCUGACGAUGGAUAGGAGGGGAAUCUCUAGUUGGAAAAAUAUAUUAAAAGUGCUCUCUUAAUCAUAUGGAUAAAGAAUUACAUGAGGUCAGGGAGCAGGGAGGGAUAGCAUUAGGAGAUAUACCUAAUGUAAAUGAUGAGUUAAUGGGUGCAGCACACCAACACGGCACAUGUAUACAUAUGUAACAAACCUGCAUGUUGUGCACACAUACCCUAGAACUUGAAGUAAAAUAAAAUAAAUAAAUAAAUAAAAGAAAUUAAUCCUAAAAAAAAAAAAAAAAGAAUUACAUGAGGUCAGUCACAGUGGCUCACACCUAUAAUCCCAGCAUGUGGAAAGGCCAAGACGGGAGGAUUGCUUGAGGCCAGGAGUUGGAGACCAGCCUAGGCAACAUAGUGAGACCCCCUCUCUAAAAAAAAUUUAAAUAUAUAUAUAUGUAUACACACACAAACACACACACAUAUAUAUGUGUGUAUAUGUAUAUAUGUGUGAGCAUUAGAUGAACCAGUACUCAAGGAAACCUACCUCCAUUUGGGGGCUGACUGAGGGUAAAGAGGAGAGGAGAGUCUGUCAACAUAAUCUGGUUGCGGUCUCAGCCCUAGAAACUGUGUGCUCCAUAAAGGCUGAUCAAGUUACAGCCUGUAUGAAGUGCACUGAGGGUCACAAUGGAAACCCUUUCCUGUCACAAAACAACUCAGCAGGUUGACACAGAAUGGUGUUCAUGCCAAAUAGGCCAGACAGGCCACAAUUCUCAGGGUUAGGCAAUAGAGGCAGAGACUCGGUCUCUAGAAGGCCAUUGCUUAAGUGCACGUGUUCUCUCAGGAUAAUGGAAAAACUCUGGGUGUCUCAAGAGGAGCCUAGAAGAUACCUGCUUAAUGGAAUCAAAUAGAUUUGAUCUCUACCAUUAGAACCUUAAAUUCUUCAGCUAAUUAUCACCUUAGAGGGCUCAAAGAGCUUAUUUCAAAAGGGAUGAGGCAGGCCAGGCACAGUGGCUCAUACCUGUAAUCCCAGCACUUUGGGAGGCUGAGGCAGGCAGAUCACGUGAAUCAGGAGUUCAAGAUCAGCCUGG
rnacentral:lncRNA from 10 species